CCUACGGGUGGCUGCAGUAGGGAAUCUUCCACAAUGGACGAAAGUCUGAUGGAGCAAUGCCGCGUGAAUGAAGAAGGUCUUCGGAUCGUAAAGUUCUGUUAUUAGAGAAGAACAAGUCGAGGAGUAACUGUCUCGACUUUGACGGUACCUAACCAGAAAGUCACGGCUAACUACGUGCCAGCAGCCGCGGUAAUACGUAGGUGACGAGCGUUGUCCGGAAUUAUUGGGCGUAAAGGGAGCGCAGGCGGUUGGAAUAGUCUGAUGUGAAAGCCCACGGCUUAACCGUGGAAGGUCAUUGGAAACUGUCCAACUCGAAUGCAGAAGAGGGAAGUGGAAUUCCAAGUGUAGCGGUGAAAUGCGUAGAUAUUUGGAGGAACACCAGUGGCGAAGGCGACUUACUGGUCUGUAAUUGACGCUGAGGCUCGAAAGCGUGGGUAGCAAACAGGAUUAGAUACCCUUGUAGUC
rnacentral:rRNA from 1 species